rnacentral:rRNA from 1 species
GACGAACGCUGGCGGCGUGCCUAAUACAUGCAAGUAGAACGCUGAAGGAGGAGCUUGCUUCUCUGGAUGAGUUGCGAACGGGUGAGUAACGCGUAGGUAACCUGCCUGGUAGCGGGGGAUAACUAUUGGAAACGAUAGCUAAUACCGCAUAAGAGUAGAUGUCGCAUGACAUUUGCUUAAAAGGUGCAAUUGCAUCACUACCAGAUGGACCUGCGUUGUAUUAGCUAGUUGGUGAGGUAACGGCUCACCAAGGCAACGAUACAUAGCCGACCGGAGAGGGUGAUCGGCCACACUGGGACGGAGACACGGCCCAGACUCCUACGGGAGGCAGCAGUAGGGAAUCGUCGGCAAUGGACGGAAGUCUGACCGAGCAACGCCGCGGGAGUGAAGAAGGUUGUCGGAUCGUAAAGCUCGGUUGUAAGAGAAGAACGAGUGUGAGAGUGGAAAGUUCACACUGUGACGGUAUCUGACCAGAAAGGGACGGCUAACUACGUG